CAUUUAUAGAUUUUGCUCCAUGCAGCUCUGGUUAACCAAGUACUGUAAGAGUAAAUAAAUUAUUAAGCACUCUUACAAAUAAAUUACUAAGCACUGGGUCAAUUGCAGAAUGUGAUUAGGAUGUCCAACGGUUGAUUCUCAUGGUGUCUGUAAUAGUUUGUGAAUGAAAUAACCGACAAUCAACCAACAUAUUCAUCACAGC
rnacentral:lncRNA from 1 species